CCUACGGGGUGCAGCAGUCGAGAAUCAUUCACAAUGGGGGAAACCCUGAUGGUGCGACGCCGCGUGGGGGAAUGAAGGUCUUCGGAUUGUAAACCCCUGUCAUGUGGGAGCAAAUUAAAAAGAUAGUACCACAAGAGGAAGAGACGGCUAACUCUGUGCCAGCAGCCGCGGUAAUACAGAGGUCUCAAGCGUUGUUCGGAAUCACUGGGCGUAAAGUGUGCGUAGGCUGUUUCGUAAGUCGUGUGUGAAAGGCGCGGGCUCAACCCGCGGACGGCACAUGAUACUGCGAGACUAGAGUAAUGGAGGGGGAACCGGAAUUCUCGGUGUAGCAGUGAAAUGCGUAGAUAUCGAGAGGAACACUCGUGGCGAAGGCGGGUUCCUGGACAUUAACUGACGCUGAGGCACGAAGGCCAGGGGAGCGAAAGGGAUUAGAUACCCCAGUAGUC
rnacentral:rRNA from 1 species